rnacentral:rRNA from 1 species
AUGGGAACCCUCAAGGUGACAAUCCUGCUAUGUUUGCUACUGCUCAUGCCACUCCAUUUGGUUCCUGGUUUAGAGGCACUGACCUGCAAAGAGGUCAGUGGGACAUAUACCAAUCCACGAUGUGAUCAGGUUGAAUGUGUUGAGGCCUGCCACAAGGAGGGCUUUACCCGAGGGGGGUGUGAAGAAGUAGUUCCCGCAUCGACGUCGACGAUGCCUAUACCUUCUGGGGGACGUAGGUUGGCGAGGAGGCAGCCCGUUGUUGACCCGAUCCUUGUUUGGUGGCGGUCGCGUGGGCCAGUGACGGUGCCGAGGCUUCCGGACACCGCGGAGGUGGUACGUCACCGUGUCAGCGAGGAGGACGAGCACGUCCGUCGCUACAUGGUUGCAUGGAGGGCAGGUUCGACAAUACCUGGCAGGUUCUUUAGGGAUAUCACUGGAGCUAUGAUCAUGUGA